rnacentral:rRNA from 1 species
GAUGAACGCUGGCGGCGUGCCUAAUACAUGCAAGUCGAGCGAACGGACGAGAAGCUUGCUUCUCUGAUGUUAGCGGCGGACGGGUGAGUAACACGUGGAUAACCUACCUAUAAGACUGAGAUAACUUCGGGAAACCGGAGCUAAUACCGGAUAAUAUUUUGAACCGCAUGGUUCAAAAGUGAAAGACGGUCUUGCUGUCACUUAUAGAUGGAUCCGCGCUGCAUUAGCUAGUUGGUAAGGUAACGGCUUACCAAGGCAACGAUGCAUAGCCGACCUGAGAGGGUGAUCGGCCACGCUGGAACUGAGACACGGUCCAGACUCCUACGGGAGGCAGCAGUAGGGAAUCUUCCGCAAUGGGCGAAAGCCUGACGGAGCAACGCCGCGUGAGUGAUGAAGGUCUUCGGAUCGUAAAACUCUGUUAUUAGGGAAGAACAUAUGUGUAAGUAACUGUGCACAUCUUGACGGUACCUAAUCAGAAAGCCACGGCUAACUACGUG